AGAGUUUGAUCAUGGCUCAGGAUGAACGCUAGCGGGAGGCCUAACACAUGCAAGCCGAGCGGUAUUUGUCUUUCGGGACAGAGAGAGCGGCGUACGGGUGCGGAACACGUGUGCAACCUGCCUUUAUCAGGGGGAUAGCCUUUCGAAAGGAAGAUUAAUACCCCAUAAUAUAUUAAUUGGCAUCAAUUGAUAUUGAAAACUACGGUGGACAGAGAUGGGCACGCGCAAGAUUAGAUAGUUGGUAGGGUAACGGCCUACCAAGUCAGUGAUCUUUAGGGGGCCUGAGAGGGUGAUCCCCCACACUGGUACUGAGACACGGACCAGACUCCUACGGGAGGCAGCAGUGAGGAAUAUUGGACAAUGGGUUAGCGCCUGAUCCAGCCAUCCCGCGUGAAGGACGACGGCCCUAUGGGUUGUNNNCUUCUUUUGUAUAGGGAUAAACCUACUCUCGUGAGAGUAGCUGAAGGUACUAUACGAAUAAGCACCGGCUAACUCCGUGCCAGCAGCCGCGGUAAUACGGAGGGUGCAAGCGUUAUCCGGAUUUAUUGGGUUUAAAGGGUCCGUAGGCGGAUCUGUAAGUCAGUGGUGAAAUCUCACAGCUCAACUGUGAAACUGCCAUUGAUACUGCAGGUCUUGAGUAAGGUAGAAGUGGCUGGAAUAAGUAGUGUAGCGGUGAAAUGCAUAGAUAUUACUUAGAACACCAAUUGCGAAGGCAGGUCACUAUGUCUUAACUGACGCUGAUGGACGAAAGCGUGGGGAGCGAACAGGA
rnacentral:rRNA from 1 species